rnacentral:rRNA from 1 species
UACGUAGGGUGCAAGCGUUGUCCGGAAUUAUUGGGCGUAAAGAGCUCGUAGGCGGUCUGUCGCGUCGGCUGUGAAAUCCCGGGGCUCAACCUCGGGUCUGCAGUCGAUACGGGCAAACUAGAGUAUUGCAGGGGAGACUGGAAUUCCUGGUGUAGCGGUGAAAUGCGUAGAGAUCGGGAGGAACACCAGAGGCGAAGGCGGCGACCUGGACAGGCACUGACACUCAACUACGAAAGCGUGGGGAGCAAACAGG